UUAAAAAUGACUUAAAUAACGAAACAUCAAUUAAAAACAUUAUCUACAUGAAAAAUCGCAAAAAUCAUGAUGUAUUAUAAAAGUAGUAGGUCUUAUAAUUUUAUAACAGUUACAAAAUGAGAACUGUAACGGUUAUAUUAACCAUUUGAAUCACAUGCCACACAAUCGCGCUGUUUUGAUUUCAUGUUGGAAAGAUCCACUACAUUUCCCCUUGAUGUGUAAAUAUUAAUACAUUUGGAUUUUGUCCAAGUCAGCGCACUUAACUUCUGGUAUUUGUUCGUAAUAUCAGUAUCUUUCUUUAUGGGCGCAAACAAUCACCUACUCAACAAAAAAUAUACCCUGAAUAAGGGAUGUUGUAUAUAUUCAUUUAAUUUCUACUAUUAUUAACUUAGAAUCAUAAAUAAUUAAAACUGUAUAUAUUUAUUAAGUACGAAUAUUAAUAAUUCCUAAUUCCUUGGAUGUAUCUUGGCCAGCCUUUUGUGAAAAUGAUUGAGAUAUAUUAUGUACCAAUGGCUCCAUUUUGGUUACAACAUGCGCAGCUUGGCAACCGUAAUCAGAAUUAUCUUCUGUAUUCAACAUUGAAUCAUGUUUCUGGGCUGAUCCAAGGGAAUUGUUUAAAUCUAAAAU